UACGUAGGGUGCGAGCGUUAAUCGGAAUUACUGGGCGUAAAGCGUGCGCAGGCGGUUUUGUAAGCCAGAUGUGAAAUCCCCGGGCUUAACCUGGGAAUGGCAUUUGGGACUGCAAGGCUGGAGUUUGGCAGAGGAGACUGGAAUUCCUGGUGUAGCAGUGAAAUGCGUAGAUAUCGGAAGGAACACCAGUGGCGAAAGCGGCUUCCUGGUCCAGAACCGACGUUCAGGCACGAAAGCGUGGGGAGCAAACAGG
rnacentral:rRNA from 1 species